CUGGGAUUUGAUCCUAGGUCUCCAGGAUCGUGCCCUGUGCCAAAGGCAGGCACCAAACCGCUGCACCACCCAGGGAUCCCAAUAUUUCUUCAUUUAACAUGCUGUGGAAGUGAAACCGUAGAGCUAAAAGGAUUGUGUGUGCUUGUUGUGCCACUGGAGGACAAACUCCAGCAUCUCCUCUACUACAAACCAGAAGAACUCUCCGAUGUAUAGUUAAUGCCCACCUGGGGUGUUUGCAGUGUUGUAUACACUUUUAGAAGAUAUCUGAUGUGGAGAAAGAAAAACAGAAACACUCAAUCAGAAUGGGUUUGAUUGACAAUUACUACUAAUGAGAACGCGCUGUAAAUCAUCCUGCAGACAGAAGACAGUGUUGAAUCCUCACAUAACCUGCAAACGGUGACACUCUUUAUAACAAGGUUACACUACUCUGUCCUCAGCGUGAUGGAAAUUCUGGCCCAUAAAUGCAUGCUUUAAAACAAAAAGGAGGGAACUGAGAUGUCUCAGGAUGGACAAGGCUUGAAGUUUGUUCUCUGUAGUUGCUGCCAGGUUUCUGGGAAUCCAUGGAAAUGGGAGGUGAGGGGCAAAGAAAUGUCUAAAUGAUUGGAGAUGAAUCUUCAGUAGCACGAAUAAAGGCUAAAGAUGGAUUUAUCCAAGACAUUUGUGAUUUGGAUGCAAUGUUGGAACACAGACCAAUGCACCGUAACAAACAAGAUAGAUGAAAAUCUCAGAGGAUGACUGUUGACCUAAUCCAAACAAAAUAACUCCUGGUUCCAUUUGCUGUUGCCAAGUCUCAGUAGAGUGCUAAGAAUAAAUAUAGCACAAGUACGGAAAGGGGUCUGCUUGGCUUUCUGUUUAUGAUUGUUCAUGCAGACGAGUGGUAGAACUGUGAGCUGAUCUCCACCAACUGCCUGGAAGUCAGCAAGUCAUUGACGUCAAUGCUCAAAAUGAAGUAUGCUGUGAAAGCAGUAGUCCUUCACUAGGUAGAAGAAAAAAGUAAACAGUGUGACCUAAAGAAGAGAAUGAACCUGGAGGCAAUGAAUCAGGUCGUUAAGGCAAGAAUAAUGCAUCACUUCACUAUACCAACAGUCAUUAUCCAGUGAGACCACACUUUGGACCCUGGUAGAGGGGGAUUUCCUCAAAGGGUAUCAUAUGGGAACUUCGUAGGAGAUGUGAAAAGGCACUUAACAGUAUCACAUUCAUAUCAAAAGGAGCAAUGACUCAUGCACUCUCUGAGCCUUUGAGCUAGGUACAUUGUGUAAUUUAUAGAAGACCCGUUUCUCCAAAGUUGGGCCAACAGUUGGUCAUUUCAUUUCAUAUUCAAGCUAUGCAUUGAAUAUAAUUUUUAAAAGAGGCAAAAAAUCUAUGUUUAAUAAUUGUCAGUGACUCUACAUUAGAUGCAACUAACCACCAAAUGGUGCCACAGCAAUAAUAUUGAGUAGCUCUUUUGCUCCUCACCAAUCAGUGAGGGGGUCACUACCAAUAGGGAGAGAGAACAGGAGUGAGAAGUGUAAGACCUAGAGAAUGGAAGGAGGGGGCAAAGCACCAUGGGAAUAAACAGUACUGAGAGUAUGACACCUGCAUUUCAGUAAUUUGGUCUUCUGCUGGCCACAAUUCCCUAACUGGAAGAGGAAAGAUUUGCCAGCCAACUGAACUCUCCUCUCCCUCCCCCCACUCCAAUCCUGAAGCAUUUCACUUUCUUGGUUAGUACAAUGUUGACUAGAGUGAGAGAGAAGACAUCUUUGUCUGAUUUUAAAUGGAAAGACUUCAGUCUUUUAUAAAUAUUAGCUGUGCACUUUUUCUUGGUGUCCUUUAUCAGGUUGGGAAAGCGCACUUCUAUUCCUAAUUUUUUUAAGUAUGUUUAUCAUGAAAGGGUAUUGGAUUUUAUCAAAAGGUUUUGUUGCAUCUAUUCAAAUGAUCAUUUGGGAUUUUGUCCUUUAUUUUAUUAAUAUGACAUAUUACAUUAAUUGACUUUCAGAUGUAAAGACCAAAUUUGCAUUAAUCCCACUUGGUCAAUGUGUAUAAUUCUUUUCAUAUGUUAAUUGAAUUUGGUUUACUAGUAUUUUGUUGAGGACAUGCAUCCACAUUUUAAGAGAUACUGGCCCAUAGUUUUCCUUUCUUUUGAUACCUUUGGGUUUGGUAUCAGCAUAAAAGUGGUCUUAUAGAAUGAAUUAAGAAUUGCUCUCUUCUCGACAAACAUUAUAUGUUCUCAUUCAUUUGGGGAAUAUAAAUAAUAGUGAAAGGGAAUAUAAGGGAAGGGAGAAGAAAUGUGUGGGAAAUAUCAGAAAGGGAGAACGUAAAGACUGCUAAC